AUUUGAUGAUGGGGGCAUCUUGCACAAAAUUUUUUAAAAUGUUCCCAGUAUUCAUGUCGGGACUCCCCGUUGUACUGUCUUACACUACAAAUUUCUUUUCUAAUGUU
rfam:Nelumbo nucifera unplaced genomic scaffold scaffold00218, whole genome shotgun sequence